GACUCCAACUUGAACCAGUAGGAACAGCCACUGGGCACGGGUGGCAGGGACAGGCAGCAGGCGGCAGGAAGGCAGGGAUGAAGCCUUAGUCUGGGAAAACUGCAAACCCUCAAGGCCGCCGUCUUCACCUUCUGACUUGGUCAAAUGGAAUCACCCCUCUACGGCCCACCACCUGGCCUCCCCCAAACAAACCUCUUCUCCUUCCGGGGCUGGAAAGAAGAGGUUCAUUUCACCUCCUCAUCUCAGGGUCUCAAUUCUACUGUCCCUCCAAACCUGAGGCAACCCCAGUUGAGAAGACUGCCUGCACUGCAAGCAGUACAGCCUCUUCCAAGAACAGUAAAGUGCGUCUACAUCUGUGCCCUCUCGGCCUACAUGGAAGGAGCACCGACCCCGUUCACCCAUCCAAGAAGCACUUCCUGAGAGCCUAGGGGACAGAGGACUGUGAAUUAAAAAAAGGCAAGGUCUACAUUCUCAAGCAGGGGGUCAGAUGGAUGAUACACAAAGAUAAAAGCUGAAGGUCAGAGCCAAAGAUAAGCGUAAGCAGGUCCAUGCUGGCACAUUCCUCCUUUGGUGCAAGGUAUUCCCACCCCUCCCCUCCCAAGCCCCCGAGCGCACAAAAUGAAUGUGCCCCAAAUGGCUGUCCAGCGUCACCCCUCCGGGCUCACUCGCGGGCCCCGGGCUCCGCCGAACAAUCGGGGCUUCUGGAGGCAGGCCGAGCAGGCGCAUUCUCAUGUGCAGAGCCCACAGCGCCCUUCUCAGCUGAUUGUGUCCAAGCGGCCGGGGUCUCCGAGGCGCAUGAAUGCCCUUGAAUGGACCCAUUCAGACUGACAGACAGGAGCUGAAAGCUGCACACACACAAAAGCCACUGGGCAGCCGAGAGGACUCCAGCCCACUCCACAAAGGGCGGUGCAGACUUCUCUACAGUUUCAACGGCAUCUCUGGGCACCAACUACACGGUACCCCUCUGACUCCGAGUGGGUGACAGCAGCCGACCGUGGCCGAGCACGGAGGAGGCCGGGGGGAGAGGUAGAAAUUAAAAGCCAACCAACAAUAAAUAAACAGAAUACCCUUUUCUUGACCAGUGAGAUGGGGCUCCGGGCCAGAGGAGCCGAAGGGCGCCUCCGUGUGCCUAUCCUGUACACUGGUUAGGGCUGCAUUCCUGACACCCACGGUGACCUUUAAGGACUCCGGCUGACCUGAGAUUGUUUAACAUGUCACUAAGAAAAAUGAUCUCGAAAGGGCGCAGCCACUAUUUAAAUGACGAUUGGAAAAACCUGGCCCCAUUCUUGUGCCACUCGGUAUUUUCCAGGGGGAGAAAAAUCUCUGAACCGACAUUUGUAGUUUGAAAUAGGACUUGGAAGGGGAGAGAACCACCCACCUGGAAUUCUUUUAAUUGCUUCAAGGGGAGGGCAGCCUCUGCCAGUCAGAGGAGCAGAGAAGUCUGUUUACACUGUUGCGCACAAAUAUUGUACGUUCACAGUCAGGUGGCUACUCUUGGAAACGCUGAUUCUCAGCUCCCAAGAUCACAUUACUUUAGAAACAACCCCCCAAAAAGAUAAUUAAAGAUAGUUCCUCCUCAUAAUGCAAUACUAUAAAGAGCAAUUAAAAUUAAAUUAGCUUGUCAUAGUAAAAAAGAUGGAUGAUAUUCUUAGGCUUCCCGACCCGGAGCUGGUAAUUCAUGGAGAAAAGGAAGAAGUCUAUGAGUGAGUAGCAGUUUUACUACAGAAAUAUUAAAUGUUCAGAUAAAUUCUGUGAACAAAUCAAGAUAACAGGAGACAGGUAUGUACCCUGGCACAAUUAUUGGUUUUCUUACAUUUACUUCAUUUUUUAAAUAAAACAAUAAUUCAAACAUAUAAAAAGGACAGAGAAAAACCUAAAAACCAAUAAACUCAUCAACCCAAAUUCACAAAUGGUAA